GAGUAGCUGGGACUACAGGCGUGCACCACCAUGCCCAGCUAAUUUUUGUAUUUUUAGUAGAGGCGGGGUUUCGCCAUGUUGGCCAGGCUGGUCUCGAAUUCCUGGCUGGGAUUACAGGCGUGAGCCACCACGCCCUGCUGGAUUUUGGAUUCUUGAUACGUAUCAUCAACCACUCUCCAGAGUUUGGCCAGCUUCACGCUCCAUCAGUGGUCUCACCAUAGACCUUCUAAUCUUGAUUGUGUUGGCUGGUGUCUAUUUUCUAAUGGUGUUUGGUUUUGGAACCUGCAUUUCUUUGAAAAAGAGUGAGCAUGUGCAUUUUCCCAGAUGCCUGGUAUCCAACUGCACUUCUCCAUGUGUGCAUUGUCCCCUGAGCUGGCAAGAAGAUCCUACUAGUUGGUCUGCAUGCCAUGCCAGCUCGGCCUUGCACCCUGGGGGCCCAGCUGUUGUCCACACCAAGGGUGGCCUACAGAGGGAAGUGAGGACCUUGGGACUUCCUCCAGGACAGCCCUCGCUGUCCAAAUCUCCACCUGCUGCAGAGCUGCCUCCAGUCAAGCCCUUGUUUCCAGCUUUCUGUGCCCUAAAUAAACUUCUGCUGGGAUUGAGCCAUCAGCAUUCUGUGGUGGGCGUCGCUGCUGCGAGGUUGCCCUCGUGCACACAAGCUCCUCACAGGACUUCCAGGAUGAUAUGGAAGAGUGACUGAGAGCAGCCGCCCGGUGCUUCCCAACCUUAGAGGGAGGUCACGGGCAGUCUCCCUGCGAUGCUGGCCACAGGGUCUCGCUGUGUCGCCCAGGCUGGAGGGCAGUGGUGUGAUCUGGACUCACUGCAGCCUCGACCUGUUGGGCUCAAGUGAUCCUCUCACGUCAGCCUCCAAGUAGCCAAGACCACAGGCAGGCGUCACCAUGCCCAGCCCCCAUGAUGACUUUACUUUUCUUCUUGAACCUGGUGAAUUUCUGUGUUAACAUGUCUGAUUUGAACCCUUCUGAUAUUCCUGAGAUAAACUUUAUGUGACCUUGGUA
rnacentral:lncRNA from 1 species